GAUGAACGCUAGCGAUAGGCUUAACACAUGCAAGUCGAGGGGCAGCACAAGGUAGCUUGCUAUCUGGGUGGCGACCGGCGCACGAGUGCGUAACGCGUAUGCAACUUGCCCUAUACAGGAGGAUAACCCGUCGAAAGACGGACUAAUACUGCGUAUGCUCACAACUUGGCAUCAAGUGGUGAGGAAAGAAAUUCGGUAUAGGAUAGGCAUGCGUCCCAUUAGCUUGUUGGUGAGGUAACGGCUCACCAAGGCAACGAUGGGUAGGGGAACUGAGAGGUUUAUCCCCCACACUGGUACUGAGACACGGACCAGACUCCUACGGGAGGCAGCAGUGAGGAAUAUUGGUCAAUGGGCGCGAGCCUGAACCAGCCAAGUCGCGUGAAGGAUGACUGUCUUAUGGAUUGUAAACUUCUUUUAUACGGGAAUAACAAGAGUCACGUGUGACUCCCUGCAUGUACCGGAUGAAUAAGCAUCGGCUAACUCCGUG
rnacentral:rRNA from 1 species